rnacentral:rRNA from 1 species
GCAACGACGCGCCUAAACCUUGUUCUUUAGUUGCCAUCAUUAAGUUGGGCACUCUAAGAGACUGCCGGUGUACAAACCGGAGGAAGGUGGGGAUGACGUCAAGUCCUCAUGGCCUUUAUGACCAGGGCUACACACGUACUACAAUGGCAGGUACAAAGGGCAGCCACUUAGCGAUAAGGCGCGAAUCCCGUAAAACCUGUCUCAGUCCGGAUUGGAGUCUGCAACUCGACUCCAUGAAGUUGGAAUCGCUAGUAAUCGCAGAUCAGCACGCUCGCGGUCGAAUACGUUCCCGGGCCUU